GGCCUGUUAAAAGUUAUAGCUGUAGGCCUAAUUUAACGAGAGUCUUCCUCUUUCUUUCGGUUAAAAAGAGGGAAAAAUUCUCAUUGUGCUCUCCAAUCUGAGGGUUAAAACGAAAGGGAAGAAAUUCCAUUUUUUCUUAUGGUCGGAAUGUUUCAACUAACCACAUUAACAAUGGCCACUGAGUUUUGAGGAGCCAUGGUGCUCUGAAACCUGUUUUUUGCUCCUCUCUUUCUCACCCCUCCCUCCCAGUCACGGUGCCAAUGGAACUUGCAAUCAAUUGGGAAUCAAUGUUACGAUGUCAAGUGCCAGCAAACCAUAAGCACUUUUGCAAAGUCAGAAUCACAUCACCAAUCAUCGAUGGUAUGUGAGUACUUACACUGUGUAGAGCACCGUACCAUGUUUAUCGUAUCCCUUUGAUGCACCCCUAGGAGUGUCAACUUUGAUCCCAAGGAAAAAAAAAAUCAGAAACUGGAAGGAGGAGAGAACGGGAUGGACAGUGACAGAACACUACAGCAGAAUCUUGAACAGACAACGUGAGAAGCGGUGCGGCCCAGUGGAAAGAGCAUGAUCCUAGAAGAACUAAACCGAUGGAUUUAGUAGGUGGGACAGGUCUCGACAGGCCUUGGCCCUCGAGGAGAACCUUUCAACGGGAGCCCUGAGAAGAUAAGGUCCUGUCUUGUUGGGAACAGUCUCUGAUGACUUCAGGCAACAUUUACCGGGGAGGUAAUGACCUGCAGUUACCUGCUCUUGGGAUCUGGUGUCGGGAGCAGUUGCUGAAUGCUCAGCUUUGCCUUUCCCAAGAUGCAGCUGUCAGGAUGGCUGGGACUGGCCUCGGAGCAUCCGCUCCCCUCCUUCCCCCCAAGCCGGGGGAGGACUCGGUUCUUCUCUCUCACAACUCCAUCCAAGAUGGCAGCUGCAUGGCCUUCCAC
rnacentral:lncRNA from 1 species